rnacentral:lncRNA from 1 species
GGAAUGGAGUCCGCUGCAGGGAGGACAGCGGGACAGGAAAUUCCAGGCCGACUGAAGGGAGGGACAAGGGUCUGGAGAUGGUGAACAUGAUCACAAACAUUAAGACGUUUAGGAACAAGAGGGGAGGCUGCGGAGCAGGGAGCGGAGCCCGCACAAGCGGGAGAAAGAAGGAGCUGUGUGUCAGGACAAAUGACAAAUACAUCUUUAUCACAGGGGGUGAUGGUGUUAUUGGGCAGAUACAGAAACAGGAAAAAAUACCUGUGAGGGCUAUUCUUGGCCGUCAACUUGACUACAUCUGGGACUAACUAAAAUGCAAAUGUCUGGGCACAUCUGUGAGGAAUGUUUUUCUUAAUUACGUCAUUUGAUGUGGG